UCAGCUCUCUUUGCCUUUUGGCUUAGAUCAAGUGCAGUGGCUGUUCUUUUUAGUUUAAUCUCUAAAACGCCCUUACGGGGGCACGCCGAUUAAUCUUAUUUUUGGAACCCGCCUGGGUGGCGCUGAGCUCCGCUCAUCUACCUGGGCACAGUGUCGCCUCUAUCGCACUGUCUGAGGCUGAUGCGAACUCCU
rnacentral:snRNA from 1 species